GGAAAGGCGGCCGCAGUCUCAGGUAUCUGCCUCCCUCCCCCAACACCCGCAACAUCUGCCGCCUUAACUGCCUGAUCACUGAUGCGUGCUCCCAGCCAACAAAAAGUCGCGAUGGGCUCUCGGGAGACCUGGGGCUUUCUCCAGUGAUUCCGGACACUUGCUUCUGUUCCUGGGUUGAAAAUACCACCGGAAGCAGCAUUUUCUGAUGAGAUUACAGCACUUCUAGGCCAGUUUCCGAAGCAGAGGGGGAAACAAACGAAAAUGAAAAAAAGAAAAAGGAAAAAAUGGAGCACCUCCACCCACCCACCCAACAAGCCUGAACAGGAAAUGUUUAAAGACCGGUGAAGUACAAACCCCGAGCUUUUUCAAAAGAAACCGGGUUAAAGAUACCUGCCGUUGAUGUAGCAAUCUAGUCCCCGUCCCCGCGUUCCGUGGAGGAGAUUCCUAAAUAUCCAAACCCCAGUGGUCUUUAUCUGGCCCAGCUGCUUCUGCUGGAGAAGGAAUGUGGCACGUCAAGUGUGUGAACACUGCCUCUAUUAUAUCCACACGGGCUGAUUG
ensembl:lncRNA